rnacentral:rRNA from 1 species
CCGCAUGGUCCUCUGGGAAAGCUUUUGCGGUAUGGGAUGGGGUCGCGUCCUAUCAGCUUGAUGGCGGGGUAACGGCCCACCAUGGCUUCGACGGGUAGCCGGCCUGAGAGGGCGACCGGCCACAUUGGGACUGAGAUACGGCCCAGACUCCUACGGGAGGCAGCAGUGGGGAAUAUUGCACAAUGGGCGCAAGCCUGAUGCAGCGACGCCGCGUGCGGGAUGACGGCCUUCGGGUUGUAAACCGCUUUUGACUGGGAGCAAGCCCUUCGGGGUGAGUGUACCUUUCGAAUAAGCACCGGCUAACUACGUGCCAGCAGCCGCGGUAAUACGUAGGGUGCAAGCGUUAUCCGGAAUUAUUGGGCGUAAAGGGCUCGUAGGCGGUUCGUCGCGUCCGGUGUGAAAGUCCAUCGCUUAACGGUGGAUCCGCGCCGGGUACGGGCGGGCUUGAGUGCGGUAGGGGAGACUGGAAUUCCCGGUGUAACGGUGGAAUGUGUAGA